rnacentral:rRNA from 1 species
UGGGGAAUAUUGCACAAUGGGCGCAAGCCUGAUGCAGCCAUGCCGCGUGUGUGAAGAAGGCCUUCGGGUUGUAAAGCACUUUCAGCGGGGAGGAAGGCGUUAAGUUUAAUAACCUCAUCGAUUGACGUUACCCGCAGAAGAAGCACCGGCUAACUCCGUGCCAGCAGCCGCGGUAAUACGGAGGGUGCAAGCGUUAAUCGGAAUUACUGGGCGUAAAGCGCACGCAGGCGGUCUGUCAAGUCGGAUGUGAAAUCCCCGGGCUCAACCUGGGAACUGCAUUCGAAACUGGCAGGCUAGAGUCUUGUAGAGGGGGGUAGAAUUCCAGGUGUAGCGGUGAAAUGCGUAGAGAUCUGGAGGAAUACCGGUGGCGAAGGCGGCCCCCUGGACAAAGACUGACGCUCAGGUGCGAAAGCGUGGGGAGCAAACAGG